rnacentral:rRNA from 1 species
UACGUAGGGGGCUAGCGUUGUUCGGAUUUACUGGGCGUAAAGCGCGUUCAGGCGGUUCGGCAAGUCGGGCAUGAAAUCUCUCGGCUCAACCGGGAGAGGUUGUCCGAUACUGUUGGACUUGAGGGCAGUAGAGGGUGGUGGAAUUCCGGGUGUAGUGGUGAAAUGCGUAGAUAUCCGGAGGAACACCAGUGGCGAAAGCGGCCACCUGGACUGUACCUGACGCUCAAACGCGAAAGCUAGGGGAGCGAACGGG